rnacentral:tRNA from 1 species
UGGGAUGUAGCCAAGUGGUAAGGCAACGGACUUUGACUCCGUCAUUCCGCUGGUUCGAGUCCAGCCAUCCCAACCA